UCCAGACUCCUACGGGAGGCAGCAGUGAGGAAUAUUGGUCAAUGGGCGAGAGCCUGAACCAGCCAAGUCGCGUGAGGGAUGACUGCCCUAUGGGUUGUAAACCUCUUUUGUAUGGGGGGAAUAAGCUUUACGAGUAGAGUGAUGACAGUACCAUACGAAUAAGCAUCGGCUAACUCCGUGCCAGCAGCCGCGGUAAUACGUAGGUGGCAAGCGUUAUCCGGAUUUAUUGGGUGUAAAGGGCGUGUAGGCGGGAGCGCAAGUCAGAUGUGAAAACUCAGGGCUCAACCCUGAGCCUGCAUUUGAAACUGUGUUUCUUGAGUGCUGGAGAGGCAAUCGGAAUUCCGUGUGUAGCGGUGAAAUGCGUAGAUAUACGGAGGAACACCAGUGGCGAAGGCGGAUUGCUGGACAGUAACUGACGCUGAGGCGCGAAAGCGUGGGGAGCAAACAGGAUUAGAUACCCCGGUA
rnacentral:rRNA from 1 species